UACGUAGGCAGCGAGCGUUGUUCGGAAUUACUGGGCGUAAAGAGUGUGUAGGCGGUGCUCCCAGUCUGUUGUGAAAUCUCCCGGCUUAACUGGGAGGGUGCAGCGGAAACUAGAGUGCUAGAGGGUGGGAGAGGUAAGCGGAAUUCCUGGUGUAGCGGUGGAAUGCGCAGAUAUCAGGAAGAACACCCGUGGCGAAGGCGGCUCUCUGGAACGCAACUGACGCUGAGACGCGAAAGCGUGGGGAGCAAACAGG
rnacentral:rRNA from 1 species